AUGGCUGACCGUGGACUCUUCAGUUUUCUCUUCAGUUAUUCCGUAUUUGAUCGCCUAUUCGGUCGACAAAAUCUUUCUAAAGUGUGUAAGAUGAAGUGAUCCAAUCGGAGGUUGUCAGAUCAUCAGUCAUAGUGCCGUCUAGAUUGUCAGAUCAUCAGUCAUAGUGGCUGUCUGUCCCACACAGCAGAAGUGAUGUCUCAAGCUAAUGCUACUUUCAGCCUUGUUUCAAGCAAUCUGCAAUAUAACAACUCAUUCAACUUCAUGUUUAAAGAUGAAGUGAUCCAAUCGGAGGUUGUCAGAUCAUCAGUCAUAGUGCCGUCUUAAUUGUCAGACCAUCAGUCAUAGUGGAUGUCUGUGACACAGAACAGAAGUGAUGUC